rnacentral:lncRNA from 1 species
UUUCUAACACCAAAAUUGGUUAUCUGUACAUCAAGGGCUUCCAUAUGUCAUAAUUGACCAUGAUUCAUGUUGCUUAUUUGGGAUUUGUUUAUCUAGCAACUCUUUAACUCAAGCUUGCCCAAGUAAAACUCUCUAUCUUUGUCUUGUUCGCUAUAUUCACGUCUAUCAGCAUGUAUAUGCAGAACUUAUUUAAUCUGUAAACCUGCCUAAAUUGUUGCAAAUAGAGAUUAAAGUCAUAAAAAAUAUGCAAAAUGCAAUUAAGCAUACAGACUGUGUCUUAUUUAUCUGUAUAAUCUAUCAUCCUUCCCUGAAGCAGUGGAAGCUGCAGGUCUGGCUGCCCAGAUGUUUGGGAUAGGUGGGAGUGGUAGAGUGUGGAAAGGUAAAGAAAUUUUUAGAGAAAGAAAGUGAUUUGCCUACUUGAUCUACCAAGAAAAGACAAG